rnacentral:rRNA from 1 species
GACGAACGCUGGCGGCGUGCUUAACACAUGCAAGUCGAACGGAAAGGCCCUGCUUUUGUGGGGUGCUCGAGUGGCGAACGGGUGAGUAACACGUGAGUAACCUGCCCUUGACUUUGGGAUAACUUCAGGAAACUGGGGCUAAUACCGGAUAGGAGCUCCUGCUGCAUGGUGGGGGUUGGAAAGUUUCGGCGGUUGGGGAUGGACUCGCGGCUUAUCAGCUUGUUGGUGGGGUAGUGGCUUACCAAGGCUUUGACGGGUAGCCGGCCUGAGAGGGUGACCGGCCACAUUGGGACUGAGAUACGGCCCAGACUCCUACGGGAGGCAGCAGUGGGGAAUAUUGCACAAUGGGCGGAAGCCUGAUGCAGCAACGCCGCGUGCGGGAUGACGGCCUUCGGGUUGUAAACCGCUUUCGCCUGUGACGAAGCGUGAGUGACGGUAAUGGGUAAAGAAGCACCGGCUAACUACGUGCCAGCAGCCGCGGUGAUACGUAGGGUGCGAGCGUUGUCCGGAUUUAUUGGGCGUAAAGGGCUCGUAGGUGGUUGAUCGCGUCGGAAGUGUAAUCUUGGGGCUUAACCCUGAGCGUGCUUUCGAUACGGGUUGACUUGAGGAAGGUAGGGGAGAAUGGAAUUCCUGGUGGAGCGGUGGAAUGCGCAGAUAUCAGGAGGAACACCAGUGGCGAAGGCGGUUCUCUGGGCCUUUCCUGACGCUGAGGAGCGAAAGCGUGGGGAGCGAACAGGCUUAGAUACCCUGGUAGUCCACGCUGUAAACGGUGGGUACUAGGUGUGGGGUCCAUUCCACGGGUUCCGUGCCGUAGCUAACGCUUUAAGUACCCCGCCUGGGGAGUACGGCCGCAAGGCUAAAACUCAAAGGAAUUGACGGGGCCCCGCACAAGCGGCGGAGCAUGCGGAUUAAUUCGAUGCAACGCGUAGAACCUUACCUGGGUUUGACAUGGAUCGGGAGUGCUCAGAGACGGGUGUGCCUCUUUUGGGGUCGGUUCACAGGUGGUGCAUGGCUGUCGUCAGCUCGUGUCGUGAGAUGUUGGGUUAAGUCCCGCAACGAGCGCAACCCUUGUUCACUGUUGCCAGCACGUUAUGGUGGGGACUCAGUGGAGACCGCCGGGGUCAACUCGGAGGAAGGUGGGGAUGACGUCAAGUCAUCAUGCCCCUUAUGUCCAGGGCUUCACGCAUGCUACAAUGGCUGGUACAGAGAGUGGCGAGCCUGUGAGGGUGAGCGAAUCUCGGAAAGCCGGUCUCAGUUCGGAUUGGGGUCUGCAACUCGACCUCAUGAAGUCGGAGUCGCUAGUAAUCGCAGAUCAGCAACGCUGCGGUGAAUACGUUCCCGGGGCU